AUGGGCAAACACGUUGCAUCGCCAGGAAGGGUUGUUCUUGUCAAGUCGGUUGUAACGGCGAUUGCUAUAUAUUACCUGACGGUGCUAAACAUCCCUGUGGAGGUACUGAAAAAGAUUGACUCCCUGCGGCGUGCAUACCUCUGGGCUGGUUGUGACAAGGUUUCUGGGGGAAAAUGCAAAAUGAACUGGGAGCAAGUGUGCAAAUCUAAACUGCAUGGUGGCCUAGGUAUUCUCAACUUGGAAAAAUUUGCUACUGCCCUUCGCCUCCGGUGGUUGUGGGGAGCUUGGACGGAUCCAAGCAAGCCUUGGGUAAACUUG
rnacentral:rRNA from 1 species